rfam:Triticum aestivum genome assembly, contig: Triticum_aestivum_CS42_TGACv1_scaffold_224172_3B
GAUGUAUUCCCUCCGUCCAAAAGUAUUUGUUGGAGGAAUGGAUGUAUCUAGAUGUAUUUUAGUUCUAGAUAUAUCCAUUUUUAUGCAUUUCUGUGACAAGUAUUUUCGGACGGAGAGAGUAUUAG